AGACGUUCUCUCUGGCUGGAUUUGCAUCGGCUCACUUUUCACGCUGCUUCCGUAGUGAGCGGUUGGCGCCGUGUUGGGCGUGCGGUACUGUGGCGUUUUUGCGUGAGCUCAAUCCGUUUCCAUCGCUUGAAGUAUGAAUUGUGGACAUGUGGCUGUUCAACGUGGCUACAUCGUGACACCACGUGUACUCGUGUACCCGGCAGCACGGCGGUUGAAGAUGACGCCGAUUGACUCCGCCGGCAUUAGCUGAACCAAUGGCUGAACGCUCUGAUCAGGAGUGUGCAAUGAGCUGUGCUUCUGCAUUUAAAAAAUAACAAAAUGUCCGCAUGAGCACUGGUGGAUGCUUCUCAUUGACCCCUCUGAGAGGUUUGCUUGAAAUGCCCAUGCAAUGUUACAACAAAGGGUGAACGUGAGCACUGGUGGAUGAGUGAAGCAUCAUUGUCCCAUUGAAAGGUUUUUCUGAAAUGCCCAUGCAGUCUUGGCAGCUCUCUCGUGGGAAAAGGUGUUCUGCUGUAGCUCAUCUGCUUUAGAGUCAUGCCCCAGCUGCGGUUAAUGACUACGGCAAGCACUGCGGUUGAUGUGUGAACGACAGUUGGACAAGGAGAAAACCCGCCACAUUUUUCGGUGUGCACAGAUCUUUAGAGAACACUUCACUCAGAAUAAAAGAUUCGCAUUAAACACUUGU
rnacentral:lncRNA from 1 species